rnacentral:tRNA from 1 species
AUAAAUUUAGUUAAUUAUAAUAUUAAUUUGUCAAAUUAAAGUAGAGUUUAUUCCUCAAUUAAUA